GCGCGGAUGGCACAGCGGCUACUGCGUCUCCCUGCAGAGGAGAUUUUCACGGGUUCGAGUCCCGUUCCGCGCU
rnacentral:tRNA from 1 species